UACAGAGGGUGCGAGCGUUGUCCGGAAUCACUGGGCGUAAAGGGCGCGUAGGCGGCCCGAUAAGUAGGGGGUGAAAUCUUGCGGCUCAACCGCAAGGCUGCCUUCUAAACUGUCGGGCUGGAGCACGGUAGAGGCAGAUGGAAUUCCCGGUGUAGCGGUGGAAUGCGUAGAGAUCGGGAAGAACACCAGUGGCGAAGGCGGCUACCUGGCCUAAUACUGACACUGAGGCACGAAAGCGUGGGGAGCAAACAGG
rnacentral:rRNA from 1 species